rnacentral:misc_RNA from 1 species
UGCCAUCUGCUUUACUUUAUUUCUUAUAUUCAAGAUCAUGUCCUGCCGCUUAUUAAACUCCUUUUCUGACAUUGGUUGCUUGUUGCGGAGAUUCGUCAGAAGGGAGUGCAAGCUAUCUAGUCUUGUCCCAAGAAUUGUUAUCUUCCUCCGAAUCGCAGAUGUAUGACGUAUGGCUUCCGGGCCAGAUGGUAAAGAACCCCUUUCAGACAUCAUGGAAGUUAUAUCAUCAACUAGCCUGGAAGCUUCAUUGAACUCCCUCAGCCAUGAAUCAGAAGACGAUGCCAUUACUGAUCAGGCGGCAGAUGAUGUCGGGAGCGGCGGUGAAUCCGGAGCAGCCGGCGGCGGAGGCUCUCCGACGGCGACGGAGAUCGAGAUCGGGUAUCCGCUAG